AUGAGCAGGAGCACACAAGGAGCCUUGUCGCUGCUGCCACCACCACCACGGACGUCUUCGCGCAACCGCCGCCUUCGAGUUUGCCAGCUGCUGCUCAGAUAUGCGGGAUCCAUGUCCCCAAGCCGCAGGUGUCCGUCCUCCGCCCCGGAUCUGGCUUGUCCACGCCCUUCGGCCUCCCCUGCGACCGGCACCGCCACCCUCCCCACUGCCUCAUCUUCAUGCGUGAGGACAACGAUGACAGCGCCACCGUCGACCGUCUGGGCCGUCCCUCCGCCACCCUCCCCACUGCCUCCCAGUCGUCGCCGGCGGGAGCGACGGUGA
rnacentral:rRNA from 1 species